GAGCUGGUAGUCCAAUAAAGAUAGCUGAUUUCGACUCAGCAGAUUAUGAAUAGCCUCAUACCAUCUCU
rnacentral:tRNA from 1 species